UACGUAGGCAGCGAGCGUUUGUUCGGAGUUACUGGGCGUAAAGCGUGCGUAGGCGGUGUCUUAAGUUUGUUGUGAAAUCUCCCGGCUUAACCGGGAGGGUGCGGCGAAUACUGAGAUGCUGGAGUGCCGGAGAGGUAAGCGGAAGUCCUGGUGUAGCGGUGAAAUGCGUAGAUAUCAGGAGGAACACCUGCGGUGUAGACGGCUUACUGGACGGUAACUGACGCUGAGGCACGAAAGCGUGGGUAG
rnacentral:rRNA from 1 species